rnacentral:rRNA from 1 species
AACGAACGCUGGCGGCAUGCCUAACACAUGCAAGUCGAACGAGACCUUCGGGUCUAGUGGCGCACGGGUGCGUAACGCGUGGGAACCUGCCCUUAGGUUCGGAAUAACUCCCCGAAAGGGGUGCUAAUACCGGAUAAUGUCUUCGGACCAAAGAUUUAUCGCCGUUGGAUGGGCCCGCGUUGGAUUAGCUGGUUGGUAGGGUAAAAGCCUACCAUGGCGACGAUCCAUAGCUGGUCGGAGAGGAUGAUCAGCCACACUGGGACUGAGACACGGCCCAGACUCCUGCGGGAGGAAGGAGUGGGGAAUAUUGGAGAAUGGGCGAAAGCCUGAGCCAGCAAUGCCGCGUGAGGGAUGAAGGCCUUAGGGUUGUAAAGCUCUUUUACCCGGGAUGAUAAUGACAGGACCGGGAGAAUAAGCCCCGGCUAACUCCGUG